rnacentral:rRNA from 1 species
AGAUUGAACGCUGGCGGCAUGCCUUACACAUGCAAGUCGAACGGCAGCACGGGAGCAAUCCUGGUGGCGAGUGGCGAACGGGUGAGUAAUACAUCGGAACGUGCCCAAUCGUGGGGGAUAACGCAGCGAAAGCUGUGCUAAUACCGCAUAAGAUCUACGGAUGAAAGCAGGGGAUCGCAAGACCUUGCGCGAAUGGAGCGGCCGAUGGCAGAUUAGGUAGUUGGUGAGGUAAAGGCUCACCAAGCCUUCGAUCUGUAGCUGGUCUGAGAGGACGACCGGCCACACUGGGACUGAGACACGGCCCAGACCU